GCCAUGCAUGUCUAAGUAUAAACGAUUUAAUCGUGAAACCGCGAAUGGCUCAUUAUAACAGCUAUAAUUUACUUGAUCUUGACACAAUCCUACUUGGAUAACUGUGGUAAUUCUAGAGCUAAUACAUGCAUUAAAGCUCUGACCUCACGGGAAGAGUGCAUUUAUUAGAACAAAACCAAGCGGCUUCGGCUGUUUCUGGUUGACUCAUAGUAACUGAGCUGAUCGCAUGGUCUUGCACCGGCGACGUGUCUUUCAAGUAUCUGCCGUAUCAACUUUCGAUGGUAGUGUAUCUGACUACCAUGGUGAUCACGCGUAACGGAGAAUAAGGGUUCGGCUCCGGAGAGUUCGCCUGAGAAAUCGCGAACACAUCUAAGGAAGGCAGCAGGCGCGAAAAUUACCCACUCUCAGCACGAGGAGGUAGUGACGAAAAAUAACGAGACCGUUCUCUUAUGA
rnacentral:rRNA from 1 species